rnacentral:rRNA from 1 species
UAGGGAAUCUUCGGCAAUGGACGAAAGUCUGACCGAGCAACGCCGCGUGAGUGAAGAAGGUUUUCGGAUCGUAAAACUCUGUUGUUAGAGAAGAACAAGGACGUUAGUAACUGAACGUCCCCUGACGGUAUCUAACCAGAAAGCCACGGCUAACUACGUGCCAGCAGCCGCGGUAAUACGUAGGUGGCAAGCGUUGUCCGGAUUUAUUGGGCGUAAAGCGAGCGCAGGCGGUUUCUUAAGUCUGAUGUGAAAGCCCCCGGCUCAACCGGGGAGGGUCAUUGGAAACUGGGAGACUUGAGUGCAGAAGAGGAGAGUGGAAUUCCAUGUGUAGCGGUGAAAUGCGUAGAUAUAGGGAGGAACACCAGUGGAGAAGGCGGCUCUCUGGUCUGUAACUGACGCUGAGGCUCGAAAGCGUGGGGAGCAAACAGG